UCGCCAUUAUUCGUUUCGUGCACGCCGGUCCGGUUGAUUUAUAGCUCUUUUGCUGGUGCAUUUUGUAUCUCAAUUUUUCUUAUCGGCUUCUUUAUUAUUAUUAUUUUUGCAAAUUCAAGAGGAAAACUGCUGAAUGUUUACAUUUUGAUGAUUCAUAUUUCAAUAACCAAGUUGUGGAGUAAAUGUUGAUGAAUGUGUUCUGAAGUGCUUUAAUACCUAUCUUAUCGAAGGUGCGGAUACUUAAAUAAGUUUAUUGUGCUCAAUUACAAACGUUGAAUAUGGAACCAAGUUCUGGUGAGUUUAUACCGGUUCUUAAAAGACGAAGUCGCCCUCCGGUACCGAAACGGGACGUCGAAGAUAAUUUCGAUCAUUCCAAGUUUACGGCUAAACGUGGCAAGAGCAGAACCAAGCCCUCCGCUUCAGGGACAAAGGGAAGACCCAGCAACGAGACGCAAAAUGUUCGUUCGAACAUUGUUGGCCGCGUGGAACGCCAUCGCAAUGCUGGGGGCCACAUGCGGCGCUGCAUCUGCCGCUGGAUCAUGACGUACGGUCGCUGGCUGGAUCCAUACGAGUUUGUGAUGAGCUACAACGACGGACAAGGGUGCCCCAUUUGUCGUGUGAAAUUCCGAUCGGAGGACUCUCAAUCGGAUCACUUUGACAUGCACGGUAAAGAGUUUGCCAUAUUCGCCAGAGAUGGGGAUCGCCGCGUUACUCGCUAUGCUUUUCGCCUGGAGAUUAAGUAUUUGCCGAGAUACUCGCGGAUGAGUAUUCGCAUCGAAAACGAUUCGAAUGCGGUUCUAGUUUUGCGAUCCGUCUACCUACUGCAGCUGGACAAACGGUUAGAUGCGACUCUGGGUGGGCCGCUCAGAAUGGCACCGGGUUACACAUAUGAAAUUGACCACACCAUUGAACACUGCAUUCCGAAUCAUGUCUAUACCGUCAUUCUCGUGGCAACCGUGGCUUGUAGUCGGGUGGAACUAAUAGAGCAAUAUCACGUGCAGAUGCUGAAGAGUACAAAAAUUGUUGGGAAACCUUUGAAAAUGGAUAUUUUGCCAUACCACCACAUUCCGGAUUAUCUUAUAGCAAUUUACAAGAAUAAUUUUGAGCACAGUAACAACUUCAAUCGUUUGGCAAUGCUUUGUUUGGAGAAUCUUCGACAAUUCAUCAAACAGGGUCUAACACCGACGAAUUACAUCGAACAGCUUCGGCUUCUGAACAUGAUUGAGGACUACGAUUUGCAGACCAUUUUUUCCACCUACACGAUCCACAAUGCCUUGGUUUCCCCGGCUGAGCAAAACCGACGGUACAUUAUUUCGGUGGACCAGUUCCAGGUGGCCCCGGCCAUGCUGGAAAUUGACGGGUACGUUCGGAUCACAGUGCAGCGAAGCAGUGGGCCUCGCGGUGCCAUUUUGGAAUACGUCAAUGGGUACAUAGACGCGAUCAGUGAAGAUGAUAUUGUGGUAACCAUGCAGCAGCCGGUUCGUUUCCAUCUUCCGUGCAAGGUGGAGUUUCCGUUGAAUCGAACUCAGUACAAGUUGGAGUACAACGCGUUAAAUCUAAUUAGCCGAAUCGAUUUGGAGAAAUUUCUGUUUACGAAAUCUCUGCCCAAAAAGAAGAAACCCGUCAGACAGACCGAGUUCCGUUGGUUCCAACCGACUAUCGCUAACAACCGGGAGCAAAUGACAGCCAUUCGGAACAUCAUUAAUAUGACUUCCUUUCCGGCCCCGUACGUACUGUUUGGACCGCCAGGAACCGGUAAAACUUCCACCAUCGUCGAAGCUGUUCUUCAAAUAUGGAAGAAUCAACCAAAAGCAAGCGUACUAGUAGCCGCGUCGUCUAACUUGGCGUGUGACGAAGUCACCAAACGGCUGAGGCAAUUCAUACCCGAGGAGGAAAUAUUUCGAUUCUUUUCUAGAUCUUGUGAACGUAAUAUAGACAAUAUUGACAUAGGAAUACUGGAGAUAUCGAACUUAGCAACUGGCAUAUAUGAAGUUCCGUCAUAUGAACAUGUCUAUCGCUGUCGUAUCACCGUCAGCACUGUCACGAAUUGUGGAAGAUUCGCACAAGCUCAUAUAAAUUCUACGUUUUUCGAUUACGUAUUUAUUGACGAGUGUGGUAGUGCUAAAGAAGUAUCGGCCUUAGUUCCCAUAGCAGGCGUUUGCACCGAAGGUCCUAAAAUCCAAGCGAGCGUAAUCUUGGCUGGCGAUCCAAAACAGCUGGGACCAGUGGUCCGCACCGAGUACCUGAAACAAACCGUCCACAAUACAUCGCUGUUGGAUCGUCUCAUGUCCCAAGGCAUCUACAAACGCCAUAAGGGUCAAUAUAACCCACUUGUGAUCACAAAACUCUUAGACAAUUAUCGAUCCCAUGGAGCUUUAAUCCACUACUCAAACGAAUGGUUCUACGAUGGUGAAUUGCGAGCAUGUGCUGCUCCGGACCUCGCGGACUGGGCAGUUGGGUGGAGCUACCUUCCGAAUCCAGUUUUCCCGAUCAUUAUGCAUUCCGUUGUCGGUGUUACUCGUAUGGACCGCCAGUGUUUGAGUUCAUACAACAAGGAAGAGGCCCGCUGCGUGCUGCACUACAUUCAGAAAAUUCUCUCGGAUGGAAUCAACGAUCGACAGAUACGCGAGGAAGACAUUGGUGUUAUUACGCCAUAUUCGAAACAGGUAUCAUACCUAAGACAUGGUUGUCGCAACUAUGGCUGGGAGAACGUGGAGGUUGGUUCCACGGAGCAAUACCAGGGGCGCGAAAAACCUAUCAUGAUCUUGUCGACGGUGCGAUCGCAACGCGACCACGUAGGAUUCCUGUCCAACAGCAAGCGGCUCAACGUAGCCAUCACUCGCGCCCGCGCUCUGAUGAUAAUUGUAGGCAAUCCUGACACGUUGCAGCGUGAUCCUCAUUGGUAUCGUCUGUUGCGAUACAUAUCAGACAACCAGGGUGUGCGAGGUGUGGAAUUUCAGCCUAAGCAGCCCGAUAUUGACUUGUCUGGUCAACCAUUUUCGUAUGCCAUGGAAGAGGAAGAUUUCGCUUAAUUGUUUGUUUUUUCGUCUUACUACGUUGAAUAACGAUGUUCAUUUGCAGUAUGUUUUGUUCCAUUGUUGAAUUCCCUAAAGUACAAUGUUAAUUUAUCAAAGUGUCGUUGAUGCGAUCGUUUAUGUAAAAUGUGUAAAAUGCCCAACCUUCUCACAGACCAGAAAACAUGUUUUUGCUGUUGGUGAUUUAACAAAUUGGCGUCCUGUGAAAAUUUAAUAAACGCUGUCGGGAUUACGCUAUUUGAGUUGCAUUUGGUGAAUUGACUAAGGCCGAGGUGGCCUGUGCGGUAUAUAAGAGUCUUCUCCAUUCGGCUCGGUCCAUGGCUACACGUCGCCAACCACGCAGUCUACGGAGGGUCCGCAAGUCAUCUUCCACCUGAUCGAUCCACCUUGCCCGCUGCGCAUCUCGCC